UAAGAAAAUAUUUGUUUAUAUUGCAGUCAAAGUUUGCAUUUCCUGGACAUAUACGUCACUUGAUUCUUCAAUCCCUUGGAGUUAAGUGGCGUAACCAUAAGACUAAUUUAAAAGCUGAGCAUUGGGACAGCCGUCCUAUCGAGGAAAUUAUGGAGUCUAUUUCAUCUGGUGUUGAUGCAACACAGUGGUGUCAUCUAGUCACCCAGUGGUCACAACCAAAAGACAAGGAGAGGGCCGUCAUAAAUUCUGCAAAAGCAAAGAAACAGACUUGUCCUCACACUAUGGGGCGUGCUAUCAAAGACAGAUUAUUAUUAUGGAGAGUUAAUAGAUUGCGUAAAGAUGGCACCUGGUCAUCUGAAGAUGCUAAUUAGAGAU